rnacentral:lncRNA from 1 species
AGACGACCUCACUGGAUGUGCCCUCCUUUGUUCCCAUAACUGGCUGGCUACUGGAGAAGUGUCCCUCUUCCAACCAGGCCUAUGGUUUUUUUCAGGGCAUCAACAUCGUGUGCGGAGGGGAUGAGCAAGAAGACAAUGGAGCGUUCCCGCUGCUCGCUUGCUCUGCAGUGAGAUGCAGUGUGUUGUUCUGGGAGGACGGCAGUAAUGCAAAAACCAAUCCAGCACAUUCCAUGCAUGGGAAAGGCAUUGAAAAUACUUACAAUAGCGAAUUUUUCCUUUAAGCCUAAGCGUAAGUGACUUUUCUUUGGGCGACCGCUCCCAUUGGACGGCUUCAGGACCGCCUUCUGCAGUCAUUCAGGUGUGAAAUGUGCCUUUAAUAUGCCUUUCUUUCCCACUAUUAUGCAAAGUAGUUAUUUUCGGCUAAGAUCAAAUAUGAAAAACUACAAUGUAAGGAAAACUUGAAAAGUGUACGUAUAAAAGGAGUGCAUAUGCCUUAUUUUGUAAUGUUGAGCUCUAAGCUGAGUCAUUGAUCUAGAAGUUGGGGUACAAAGUUACGUUUAUUCAGACGAUUUGGCCAAGCCGGUUGGGGAGCAAAGUGCUGUCUGGGGCACAAUAAUGACAUUGGUGGAAGAGAGAUACCUGCUUCUGUCUCUCACUAUGCCCACAAUGGGUGAUGACACCAGGGAAGCUGCCCUCCUGUUAUGCUAACAGGCAAUGUUAGCAGAACAUGAAAACACACCAGAAGCGUCAAAGGGCCCGACCCCCGGAGACACAAAUCCUCUUUGUGUCCAGCUUAUCUCCAGCUGCUGCCAUGAUAAAUAGUCCAGCUCCAGGGAGCCUGGGGAAGCGCUACCCCACGGAACGAAGCACAGAGGGAAGCGAGCUUGAGGAAAUAUU